rnacentral:rRNA from 1 species
GACGAACGCUGGCGGCGUGCCUAAUACAUGCAAGUCGAACGCCUUUUCUUUCAACGUCGCUUGCUACACCGAAAGAAAGUGAGUGGCGCACGGGUGAAUAACACGUGGGUAACCUGCCCAUCAGCGGGGGAUAACACUUGGCAACAGGUGCUAAUAACGCAUAAUUCCAUUUACCGCAUGGUAGCUGGAUGAAAGACGCUUUUGCGUACCUGCUUGAUGGACCCGCGUGGCAUUAGCUAGUUGGUGGGGUAACGGCCUACCAAGGCUGCGAUGCAUAGCCGACCUGAGAGGGUGAUCGGCCACACUGGGACUGAGACACGGCCCAGACUCCUACGGGAGGCAGCAGUAGGGAAUCUUCGGCAAUGGACGCAAGUCUGACAGAGCAACGCCGCGUGAGUGAAGAAGGUUUUCGGAUUGUAAAACUCUGUUGUUAGAGAAGAACAAGGAUGAGAGUGGAAAGUUCAUCCCUUGACGGUAUCUAACCAGAAAGCCACGGCUAACUACGUGCCAGCCGCCGCAGUAAGAC